rnacentral:rRNA from 1 species
AUUGAACGCUGGCGGCAGGCCUAACACAUGCAAGUCGAACGGUAACAGGAAGAAGCUUGCUUCUUUGCUGACGAGUGGCGGACGGGUGAGUAAUGUCUGGGAAACUGCCUGAUGGAGGGGGAUAACUACUGGAAACGGUAGCUAAUACCGCAUAACGUCGCAAGACCAAAGAGGGGGACCUUCGGGCCUCUUGCCAUCGGAUGUUCCCAGAUGGGAUUAGCUAGUAGGUGGGGUAACGGCUCACCUAGGCGACGAUCCCUAGCUGGUCUGAGAGGAUGACCAGCCACACUGGAAGUGAGACACGGUCCAGACUCCUACGGGAGGCAGCAGUGGGGAAUAUUGCACAAUGGGCGCAAGCCUGAUGCAGCCAUGCCGCGUGUAUGAAGAAGGCCUUCGGGUUGUAAAGUACUUUCAGCGGGGAGGAAGGGAGUAAAGUUAAUACCUUUGCUCAUUGACGUUACCCGCAGAAGAAGCACCGGCUAACUCCGUG